GCCUUAGUGAAUUACUCUUAGGCCAUGGUCCUGUCACCUUAGGUCGAUCGGUACCUCAAGUUUUAAGGAAAUAGAUAACGGCUAGCGCAAUUAUUUAUUUCCUUUUGGCUUCAGUUCCUAAACUUGUCUAGGUCACACCCAACAAUGGUUCUCUAGGGCCAUUAGCUCAGGUGGUUAGAGCGCACCCCUGAUAAGGGUGAGGUCCCUGGUUCAAGUCCAGGAUGGCCCAUUCGGUGUUGGGGGUAUAGCUCAGUUGGUAGAGCGCCUGCUUUGCAAGCAGGAUGUCAGCGGUUCGAGUCCGCUUACCUCCACUGAACCAUUUCCUGACAAUGAUUCCAAAGGAGAUUCUCACUUGUUUGGUUUGAUUUAGACUUUCGUUUUAGCUGAAAAGGACCCUAGCUUCCUAUCAUUCCUCCUUCUAACUGAAAAUUAGAUUGGUUGACAGGACGCUGGGCUCACUACGAUUCUUUUUAUUCGUAGAGAACUUCAGUAGAACCUUGACAACUGCAUAGGUGAGUCUGGAAAGAAUAAAGCAUCUACAAGAUGCAUCUUCCUUGAUUCUUUCAUUAGCAAUUACAUUGGUAAUUUGUUAAAUGGAUGAACAGGAAAAUGUUGAAAUUCUAAAGCAAGAGCCGAGACUCUAUAACUUAGCUUCUAAUUAUUUUUUAUUAGAAGCUUUCUUGUUUAUUCAUUUGAGUAGCUAAGAAAUUGCUCUAAGCAAAAUGUUAUUAGAGAAUUAAUGGUCAAGCUACAA
rnacentral:tRNA from 1 species